CGCCUGGCCCAGCCUGGCCGGGACGCGCGCCCUCUCGCAGCCCCGCUCACACCUGCUCGCCUCCUUGGGCCCGGUGCUCCCGUCCCAAAUGGGGCACCGUGGAAAGUGCCUAGUUGUACUGCAAGGCCAGCCGGGAGCUGCACGGGCCGGAGAUGAGCUUAAUGGUGUGCAGCGGUGCUGAAAGGCCUGAGCUGCAUUUUCUUAAUGGCAUAAGCUGCUAGAUUUGUGCUGAGUUUAUGCAAAACAGGAUACGAAUGGAAACAAAUUUUAUGCAUUCAGUGACAACUGCUACAGCUUUAACUGCCGUAGAAUCAUAGAAUCAUGGAAUUGCUCAGGUUGGCAAAGACCUUAAAGAUCAUCGAGUCCAACCAUGACCUAACCACACUACCCUAACUCUAACAACCCUCUGCUAAAUCAUGUCCCUGAGCACCACAUCCAGACGGUUUCCUUUUCGCACCUCGUGUCACUUGCUCUUUGUGCUUCUCUUGUGUGAGUGGUGGCAGAGCCUGCACUCCCUUCUCAGGGGUGUAUGGAGGAGUAACUGCAGCUGUGUCCUGUGCCACACCAGAGGAAGGAGAGUGUCCGUGCAUCAGGCACUCCUGAGUCCAGGGAAAGGAGUGUUGUGUCUCAGCACUGCUGUUUCAGCAAGUGUGUUGUGGCUCGUGUCAGACUCCUUGACCGUGUGGAGGUGCUUUGGAGACUAGGAACCAAAGUUGUGUGUGCAGCCAGUGAGUCUGCCCAUAACAUGAGAUACAGAGGGAAAAUCAUUCACCUUUACAAAUCUCCAGAAGGUGGGGAGAGGGCCAGUGGAGACAUGUAAUGAAUGUCAAUAACUAUAUUCAAUUUCUUUGGCAAGUGGUAAGUACUGUUCCCGGUCGUUUGCUCUUGCAGACUAUGUUUAAAGUAUUUCAUAAUAUAAAGCAAACCUUUCUGGAGGCCAGUGCCAAUUUUGGUUGAAGAAAUGUAUAGCAGCACAGUUGAAAGUUUUCAUUAUCUUCUUACACUCAAUUACUAAUGAAUAUUCUUUAAUUUUUUUUUUACCACACGUUUCACAUUCAUAUUACUUUUUUUUGCCUGAGGCCUAUGUGAAUAAAACAGUGUACUUCCUGUUUUGACAACAUGCUGAUGAUGUAUCUUAAGAGAAAAUCAUUAGGAAUAGCCCUGCUGACAGUGUUGCUGGAUGGUAACUUGCACUGAAUCCUGUAAUUUUACUCGUGAUUUUACCUGUAAAGGCAGGAAGUAAAAGAAUUGUCUUGUAAGAAUCUUUAGUAUUUCUCAUCCACGCUUCGAAAGUAGACAGGCUGUGGGUAUAUCCACUAGUGAACAGUUCACAGAUCUCUUUAAUCCCUCACAGAUC